rnacentral:snoRNA from 1 species
AAUCCGUGGUGUGGGCAUUUUUGAAUCAACAUUUUGAACCGUUCUCAUGCCUCAUAGAAACUUUCUCCCUCCAUCUAUCUAAAAACAACAAUAUCUCCUCUUAGUUA